rnacentral:rRNA from 1 species
GAUGAACGCUGGCGGCGUGCCUAAUACAUGCAAGUCGAGCGAACAGACGAGUAGCUUGCUCCUCUGAUGUUAGCGGCGGACGUGUGAGUAACACGUUGAUCACCUAACUAUAAGACUGGGAUAACUUCGUGAAACCGGAGCUAAUACCGGAUAACCUUUUGAACCGCAUGGUUCAACAUUUAAAGACGGUCCUUCUGUCACUUAUAGAUGGAUCCGCGCCGCAUUAGCUAGUUGGUAAGGUAACGGCUUACCAAGGCAACGAUGCGUAGCCGACGUGAGAGGGUGAUCGGCCACACUGGAACUGAGACACGGUCCAGACUCCUACGGGAGGCAGAAGUAGGGAAGCGUCCGAAAUGGGCGAAAGACUGACGGAGCAACGCCGCGUGAGUGAAGAAGGUCUUCGGAGCGUAAAACUCUGUUAUUAGGGAAGAACAAAUGUGUAAGUAACUAUGCACGUCUUGACGGUACCUAAUCAGAAAGCAACGGCUAACUACGUG